GAUGAACGCUGGCGGCGUGCCUAAUACAUGCAAGUCGAGCGAACGGACGAGGAGCUUGCUCCUCUGAUGUUAGCGGCGGACGGGUGAGUAACACGUGGAUAACCUACCUAUAAGACUGGGAUAACUUCGGGAAACCGGAGCUAAUACCGGAUAAUAUUUUGAACCGCAUGGUUCAAAAGUGAAAGACGGUCUUGCUGUCACUUAUAGAUGGAUCCGCGCCGCAUUAGCUAGUUGGUAAGGUAACGGCUUACCAAGGCAACGAUGCAUAGCCGACCUGAGAGGGUGAUCGGCCACACUGGAACUGAGACACGGUCCAGACUCCUACGGGAGGCAGCAGUAGGGAAUCUUCCGCAAUGGGCGAAAGCCUGACGGAGCAACGCCGCGUGAGUGAUGAAGGUCUUCGGAUCGUAAAACUCUGUUAUUAGGGAAGAACAAAUGUGUAAGUAACUAUGCACGUCUUGACGGUACCUAAUCAGAAAGCCACGGCUAACUACGUG
rnacentral:rRNA from 1 species